GAUGAACGCUGGCGGCGUGCCUAAUACAUGCAAGUCGAGCGAACAGACGAGUAGCUUUCUCCUCUGACGUUAGCGGCGGACGGGUGAGUAACACGUGGAUAACCUACCUAUAAGACUGGGAUAACUUCGGGAACCCGGAGCUAAUACCGGAUAAUAUAUUGAACCGCAUGGUUCAAUAGUGAAAUCCGGCUUUGCUGUCACUUAUAGAUGGAUCCGCGCCGCAUUAGCUAGUUGGUAAGGUAACGGCUUACCAAGGCAACGAUGCGUAGCCGACCUGAGAGGGUGAUCGGCCACACUGGAACUGAGACACGGUCCAGACUCCUACGGGAGGCAGCAGUAGGGAAUCUUCCGCAAUGGGCGAAAGCCUGACGGAGCAAUGCCGCGUGAGUGAUGAAGGUCUUCGGAUCGUAAAACUCUGUUAGUAGGGAAGAACAAAUGUGUAAGUAAAUAUGAACGUCUUGACGGUACCUAAUCAGAAAGCCACGGCUAACUACGUG
rnacentral:rRNA from 1 species